rnacentral:rRNA from 1 species
UUAGCAAGGGCCGGGACAAGACCGGAUGCCAGCCGCCGCGUAUAACACCGGCGGCCCGAGGUGGUGAUCGUGAUUAUUGGGUCUAAAGGGUCCGUAGCCGGUUUGGUCAGUCCUCCGGGAAAUCUGAUAGCUCAACUAUUAGGCUUUCGGGGGAUACUGCCAGACUUGGAACCGGGAGAGGUAAGAGGUACUACAGGGGUAGGAGUGAAAUCUUGUAAUCCCUGUGGGACCACCUGUGGCGAAGGCGUCUUACCAGAACGGGUUCGACGGUGAGGGACGAAAGCUGGGGGCACGAACCGGAUUAGAUACCCGGGUAGUCCCAGCCGUAAACGAUGCUCGCUAGGUGUCAGGCAUGGCGCGACCGUGUCUGGUGCCGCAGGGAAGCCGUGAAGCGAGCCACCUGGGAAGUACGGCCGCAAGGCUGAAACUUAA